rnacentral:rRNA from 1 species
UUAUAAGACAAGUCGGGAAGAUUUUUCGCUAAGGGAUCGGUCUAUGUUCCAUCAGCUUGUUGGUGAGGUAAUGGCUCACCAAGGCUAUGACGGAUAUCUGGUUUGAGAGGAUGAUCAGACACACUGGAACUGAGACACGGUCCAGACUCCUACGGGAGGCAGCAGUGAGGAAUAUUGCACAAUGGAGGAAACUCUGAUGCAGCAACGCCGCGUGGAGGAUGACGCAUUUCGGUGUGUAAACUCCUUUUAUUAGGGAAGAUAAUGACGGUACCUAAUGAAUAAGCACCGGCUAACUCCGUGCCAGCAGCCGCGGUAAUACGGAGGGUGCAAGCGUUACUCGGAAUCACUGGGCGUAAAGGGUGCGUAGGCUGGCUUUUAAGUCAGAUGUGUAAUCCAAUGGCUCAACCAUUGAACUGCAUUUGAAACUGAAAGCCUAGAGUUCAGAAGGGGCAGAUGGAAUUAGUGGUGUAGGGGUAAAAUCCGUAGAUAUCACUAGGAAUUUAUAAGACAAGUCGGGAAGAUUUUUCGCUAAGGGAUCGGUCUAUGUUCCAUCAGCUUGUUGGUGAGGUAAUGGCUCACCAAGGCUAUGACGGAUAUCUGGUUUGAGAGGAUGAUCAGACACACUGGAACUGAGACACGGUCCAGACUCCUACGGGAGGCAGCAGUGAGGAAUAUUGCACAAUGGAGGAAACUCUGAUGCAGCAACGCCGCGUGGAGGAUGACGCAUUUCGGUGUGUAAACUCCUUUUAUUAGGGAAGAUAAUGACGGUACCUAAUGAAUAAGCACCGGCUAACUCCGUGCCAGCAGCCGCGGUAAUACGGAGGGUGCAAGCGUUACUCGGAAUCACUGGGCGUAAAGGGUGCGUAGGCUGGCUUUUAAGUCAGAUGUGUAAUCCAAUGGCUCAACCAUUGAACUGCAUUUGAAACUGAAAGCCUAGAGUUCAGAAGGGGCAGAUGGAAUUAGUGGUGUAGGGGUAAAAUCCGUAGAUAUCACUAGGAAU